rnacentral:rRNA from 1 species
AUUGAACGCUGGCGGCAGGCCUAACACAUGCAAGUCGAACGGUAACAGGAAGCAGCUUGCUGCUUUGCUGACGAGUGGCGGACGGGUGAGUAAUGUCUGGGAAACUGCCUGAUGGAGGGGGAUAACUACUGGAAACGGUAGCUAAUACCGCAUAACGUCGCAAGACCAAAGAGGGGGACCUUAGGGACUCUUGCCAUCGGAUGUGCCCAGAUGGGAUUAGCUAGUAGGUGGGGUAACGGCUCACCUAGGCGACGAUCCCUAGCUGGUCUGAGAGGAUGACCAGCCACACUGGAACUGAGACACGGUCCAGACUCCUACGGGAGGCAGCAGUGGGGAAUAUUGCACAAUGGGCGCAAGCCUGAUGCAGCCAUGCCGCGUGUAUGAAGAAGGCCUUCGGGUUGUAAAGUACGUUCAGCGGGGAGGAAGGGAGUAAAGUUAAUACCUUUGCUCAUUGACGUUACCCGCAGAAGAAGCACCGGCUAACUCCGUG